GAAUGUAAAUAUGGGAUGUUUAUUUGCACAAAUAAAAAAGUUGACACAAGAAUUAGAUUUGUAUCGUCAGAAUCGCACAAAUUCCGGAAGUAACUGAUUAUAUAAAAAAGUUAAAUAAUUCCUGUUGUGAAAAUUCAGUACCUGAAUCUAUAAAUUCCAAGAAUUAUGAGACUAGUAAUAUUCAUAAUACUUUAGAAGCAACGGUAGAAUCCCUCAAGAAGGAACAGGAAUAUUUAAAUAUGAAAUUAAAUACUGCAUAAACAGCUUCAAAAAGCCUUCUGUCUGAAAAUGUAAAGCUUCAAAUACAAAUAACAACAUUACAGUCUUAAAAUAAUUCAUUGCCAGCCCAGCAUACAGCUUUGCAACUUGCGAAUUUGUAACUUGUUACUGAAAAAGAAGAGGUUAAACUUGAAAUUAUUAAAUUUAUUUCUCUUUUAAUUCAAAGUAUUGAUGUCUCCACUAUGUAAAUAUAUUUGUAUAUUUUCAAAUAUUACUUAUUCAAUUUUUUAAUUUAACUGUCACAAGAACGCAGUGUGCAACAACCAGCACAUACACAACUUGUUUAUGACAUGUGAUAAAUGUAGAAAAUGAAAUCUAAGCUCUUACAUAGAAAAAUGAUGUUGACCAGCACUAAUGUGUUAUGUAUCAGAAUGAUGGAGCUGAGGUAUGUAAAGAAAAGAAAGAGGUUUGAAUGAAAGCAGUGAGAAGA